rnacentral:rRNA from 1 species
CCUACGUGUGGCAGCAGUGGGGAAUAUUGGACAAUGGGCGAAAGCCUGAUCCAGCCAUGCCGCGUGUGUGAAGAAGGCCUUCGGGUUGUAAAGCACUUUCAGUGGGGAAGAAAGCCUUGGGGCUAAUACCCUCGAGGAAGGACAUCACCCACAGAAGAAGCACCGGCUAACUCCGUGCCAGCAGCCGCGGUAAUACGGAGGGUGCGAGCGUUAAUCGGAAUUACUGGGCGUAAAGCGCGCGUAGGCGGUCUGAUAAGCCGGUUGUGAAAGCCCCGGGCUCAACCUGGGAACGGCAUCCGGAACUGUCAGGCUAGAGUGCAGGAGAGGAAGGUAGAAUUCCCGGUGUAGCAGUGAAAUGCGUAGAGAUCGGGAGGAAUACCAGUGGCGAAGGCGGCCUUCUGGACUGACACUGACGCUGAGGUGCGAAAGCGUGGGUAGCAAACAGGAUUAGAUACCCGUGUAGUC